AUCCGCGGCAGGCGGCGGGCGGGCGCGCGCCUCGCGACGCGGCGGGCGAGGGGAGGGGACGGCGCUGCGGCGGCGCGCCCGCUGGGCCGGCCCUCGGAGACGGGCGGGCAGGCGAAUGCGGCGGGAGCGCGCGCGCACGGCCUCGGGGCCCCGCCCCUCGCCCCGCCCCUCGCCUCUGAUUCCUCGGAGCAUCUCCCGGGCUGGGGGGUGAGGGGUUCUCAGACCGGACGGGGGCGAGCACGUGCCUGAUGCAAUUCGGGAGGCGGGGGCGAUGAGGGGGGCAAGAGAAAUGGGGGGGGUAAACAGGGGGAGGUGCCUUAAAGGGCCAGCGCGUGAGAGCGGCCGCAGGUGGAGCACAUGGGAACGGGCCAUGCGGCCGCCCGGGCCUGCUCGCGCUCUUGAGGUUAGGUGAGCCAGAUUCGGGAGAAGGAGCCAUUAAUGCCACCCGCCACUUACAGGGUGGUGGAGGGGGGUACCCAUCCACCCCAAGGACGCGCCGACGGUGCUGGCUCGCUGGCGCACAGCGGGCCUGGCCCCUCCAGGCCCCGCCCGGGUGACCUUGGGCGAACCGCCCUCACCUCCGCCGGCUGUGCUCGGCUCCUCCCCGCCGUCCCCGGCCCGGACACUGACCGGAGAUGGGUUCGACUCCCGGACCGGAAGGCGGGCCCUUAACCCUUAGGGGCAGCGGGCGCCUAGGAGGGCGUUUGUGGAACCAGGACAGACGUGAUUGUCCCCAGCUGGCAGCCAAAGAACUGAGCCCCACAGAAGUUCAGUGAUUUGCUCCAGGAUGCCAGAGCAGCAGAAUCAAGAUCAGAACCCUAGUCCAGACCCCUGCACAACACGACGCAAGACAGAGAGCACCCAUGGAGAAUACAAACCCUCCCCAGACCCCCAGACUCAGUUUCUCUUCUUCAGGAAUUCGGAAGGAUCCAGGUGAGACACAUCCACUUGGCAGAUGUCAGCAGCACACAGAAGCUCCGCAUACUUUCAGGAAGUCUUGUGUGACUUUUGCUCAAUACCUGUCAUGUCCUGUGGACCCAGGGCUGGAGGAGGCGCCUGGAGUCAGCCCUCUCAUCAUACAGCUCAGAAACCGAGGCCCAGAGAGUGGACAGCACUUGCCCGAAGUCUUACAGCUGGUUCAUGGCAGAGGCUUGACUAGGUAACCAAGUCUCUUGAGGCCAGACUCCAUGCUCUUUCCUCCAGGCCUACGGAAUCUUGCAAUUGCUCUAAGUUAGCUGUUGUGUAUCAAAAUCGUGUGAUGCCUUGGGGUUUACAUUGGCCAAAACUCAUUGAACUGCACGCUUAAAACCUGUACCGUCCACUGUUUUAAAUAUAACUCAAUUUAAAAAAUGAUAAAAUGGUAUGGAAGCAUCCUGUUUCAUGAAGGGGUCAGUGUCUAAGGUCAGAAUUUAGGGCAAAAAUAAUGUAUAUUCUAAAGGGCUCAAGAAAACCCCUUAGGAAGGCAGCACACUAGAGCCAGCCUCGUCUCUCAGUGUUUCUGCGGGUGUUGUAACAGCUCGCUGUUUCUUCAGAGGGGCUAGAGUAGACGCUGGCUGGCAGGUAGGGGUCAGGUUGUGACAAAAAGAAAGUAUCUCCACAACAGGGUGAUAUUCAGGGUGGUGAGAUGCACAUGUGGGAACUAAGACUGCUGAGGCUUGUAGUAUCACACCACACACACACACGCACACACACACAUGCACACGGACCUCCCUGAGCAGGUUCCUGGAACAGGUUAACUGAAGGCCUAGAGCUGGAGAGAAGGAUCUGAGAGUUCCUGGGCCCCAGCGAGUGAGAGAAGUCAGGGGAAUGUCAUGGCCUCUGAUGGAGAGGGCUGAGGGGCAGGGGGUCAGAGCACAGCUGGAAAGCUGAAAGAACAGAGAACACCUCAUUCAAGAGGAGAGGGCAGGGGUGGGGAACCAGGGAAGGGAGGUGAGAUAAAAAGAGAGAGACAUUUGGAGGUAGUUUGGGUUUGAGAAGGAGAAAGCAAGUACCAAGGGUGGACCUGCCGUAGCAUCGCAAAACUAAUGAUUGUCCUUUGAUAAGUAAGCACCCCAAAAUUUGGAGUGAUGGAGGUGGGGGAGGCUAAUCCACAAAGCAGGAUACGUUUAAUGAGAUUAAAUUCGAUAACUUUCAGAACAGUUUGUUAGUCAUGUAUAUAUAAAAAGGAAGAUUCCAUGCUUCUCGAUAUCAAAAAGGUUUGUUCUUUUGAGGGUUUUAAACAUUCACCGUAGAAUUGUGUUAAACCAAUACAUUUGUUCACCUCACACCCAUUAGGAUUGGCUAGUAUCAAAAAAAAAGAAAGAAAGAGAAGAGAACAAGUGUUGGCAGGGAUGUUGAGAAAUUUGGAAUCCUUGUAGGAAAAAAAAAAAAAGGAUAAGACAAAAGUCAACCUCCCUCCAGAAAUCCCAAGCCACGUAACAUUCUGGGUAGGUCCAGACAGAGCUCAUGAAUAAGCUAGUCCUGGGGACUCUGAGUGGCCUGGGAUCAUGGGACUAUACCCAGGACAUUCACCCUCUUCAUCUAUACACUAACUUCACUACCCACUGCAACACACCCACCUUCCAGCACCACCUUCAACCUGAGGGGACAGCAAUGUGCAGACAGGAAAGGCUGUUGAAUACGGUAACUGUAACAAUAUAAUUUAUCUCAAAAGAACGAUUAUGACAUGAUUAUGUAAUUAAUACUUUUUAGUCAGACAUUUUCAUCUCUAAGGAUCUCUGCGAGUCUUACAGAUUAUUUAAAUAUAUAUCAAACACAUUUCUGGAGACAAAGUUAUAGUUUUAGAAGAUAAUUAAAAUUCCUUCCCUUUUGGAAUUAAGAGGAUUGCUGGUGGGAUGAAUAGUAUGCCCAUCAGACCCAGGAAUAGCUCUAAACCUAGGAACCCCAAACAUAGGGCUGGAAAGGAUCUUUUUUUUUUUUUUUUAAGGAAGAUUAGCCCUGAGCUAACA